rnacentral:rRNA from 1 species
AGCAGCCGCGGUAAUUCCAGCUCCAAUAGCGUAUAUUAAAGUUGUUGCAGUUAAAAAGCUCGUAGUUGAAUUUCGGGGUCAGUAGGUUGGUCGUGCCCCCCGGUACGUACUGGUCUCACUGAUUCCUCCUUCCUGAAGAACCGUAAUGCCAUUAAUUUGGUGUUGCGGGGAAACAGGACUGUUACUUUGAAAAAUUAGAGUGUUUAAAGCAGGCUAACGCUUGAAUACAUUAGCAUGGAAUAAUGAAAUAGGACGAUCGAUCCUAUUUUGUUGGUUUCUAGGAUUGACGUAAUGAUUAAUAGGGAUAGUUGGGGGCAUUAGUAUUCAAUUGUCAGAGGUGAAAUUCUUGGAUUUAUUGAAGACUAACUACUGCGAAAGCAUUUGCCAAGGAUGUUUUCAUUAAUCAAGAACGAAAGUUAGGGGAUCGAAGACGAUCAGAUACCGUCGUAGUCUUAACCAUAAACUAUGCCGACUAGGGAUCGGAUGAUGUUAUUUUAUGACUCAUUCGGCGCCUUACGGG